CAUAGGUUAAUGAGGCGAACCGGGGGAACUGAAACAUCUAAGUACCCCGAGGAAAAGAAAUCAACCGAGAUUCCCCCAGUAGCGGCGAGCGAACGGGGAGGAGCCCAGAGCCUGAAUCAGUGUGUGUGUUAGUGGAAGCGUCUGGAAAGGCGCGCGAUACAGGGUGACAGCCCCGUACACAAAAAUGCACAUAUUGUGAGCUCGAUGAGUAGGGCGGGACACGUGGUAUCCUGUCUGAAUAUGGGGGGACCAUCCUCCAAGGCUAAAUACUCCUGACUGACCGAUAGUGAACCAGUACCGUGAGGGAAAGGCGAAAAGAACCCCGGCGAGGGGAGUGAAAAAGAACCUGAAACCGUGUACGUACAAGCAGUGGGAGCCUCUUAAUGGGGUGACUGCGUACCUUUUGUAUAAUGGGUCAGCGACUUAUAUUCUGUAGCAAGGUUAACCGAAUAGGGGAGCCGAAGGGAAACCGAGUCUUAACUGGGCGUUAAGUUGCAGGGUAUAGACCCGAAACCCGGUGAUCUAGCCAUGGGCAGGUUGAAGGUUGGGUAACACUAACUGGAGGACCGAACCGACUAAUGUUGAAAAAUUAGCGGAUGACUUGUGGCUGGGGGUGAAAGGCCAAUCAAACCGGGAGAUAGCUGGUUCUCCCCGAAAGCUAUUUAGGUAGCGCCUCGUGAAUUCAUCUCCGGGGGUAGAGCACUGUUUCGGCAA
rnacentral:rRNA from 1 species